AACGGAUAUCUCGGCUCUCGCCACGAUGAAGAAUGUAGCGAAAUGCGAUACUUAGUGUUGAAUUGCAAGAAUCCCGUGAUCAUCAAGUCUUUGGACGCAAGUUGCGCCCCGAGCCUCGGCCCAAGGGCACGUCUGCUUGGGCGUCGC
rnacentral:rRNA from 1 species